rnacentral:lncRNA from 1 species
AAAAGCCUGAACUUCUCAGUGGUAUGUGUGAGUAGACAGAAAGAAACACAAUUUGAUUGGAAGCUGGAGAAAAGUCUGUAAAACUGGAUGACUGAUUAACCGAGGAAGCUAUUGAUAAAGGGAGAAAUGAAGAUGACUUUUAGGACUUGUCACAUAUGUCUGACAGGGAAAAGAAGAGCAGAGUGGAUCCAAUGUAUUAACGCCCACUUUCCACCCUGGCUCUCGGAAGGUCAGACGCACUCAGGUCUCAGAAAAUUCUGCCCAACUUAUUUCAAGAUUACCCUGAUGCCAAAACUGGAUAAAGAAGUUACAAGAAAACCGCAGAUCAAUUGCCUUCAUGAAUAUAGAUGCAAAAAUUCUAUAAAACCUUCAUGGGCGUGGGAACAUUUAUCCACUUUAGAGUUGACUUGACUGCAUCCCAUUGACUUCAUACAAUACGAUAUGGCUGUGAUCCCAG